GCUUUGAUGAAUUCUUGGUUACUUAAAGAAUUAAAAUUAAUGAGCAAAGGAGAACAAGAGUAUGUGUGUAGUUAUGUUAUUGUCCAAAAGCUUUGAAAUGGUCCAGAUUGAAGUUGGAUUAUUUCAUUGUAAAGCUACAAGCAUACAACACUUGAGAAUCUGAAGCAGGCAUGAUUGAAUAUGCUUUAGUGGUGUGGAGAAGGAGAAGAAUUCAAAGUCACGCCUCCCUUUUAACAAUUCCCACAUAUUUCAAUUUUCAAGUUUUGUGCUGGGCCGUGGGCGUGCUCCUCUCUCUCUCUCUCUCUCUAGAAAUACACAAACACAAACACAACAUGUAUGUGUGAGAUGAAAAAAAAAAAAUGGUGUGGUUAUGAUAU